rnacentral:rRNA from 1 species
CAGCAGCCGCGGGAAUACAGAGGGUGCAAGCGUUAAUCGGAAUUACUGGGCGUAAAGCGCGCGUAGGUGGUUCGCCAAGUUGGAUGUGAAAUCCCCGGGCUCAACCUGGGAACUGCAUCCAAAACUGGCGAGCUAGAGUACGGUAGAGGGUGGUGGAAUUUCCUGUGUAGCGGUGAAAUGCGUAGAUAUAGGAAGGAACACCAGUGGCGAAGGCGACCACCUGGACUGAUACUGACACUGAGGUGCGAAAGCGUGGGGAGCAAACAGGAUUAGAUACCCCCGUAGUCCCUGUCUCUUAUAC